GACGAACGCUGGCGGCGUGCUUAACACAUGCAAGUCGAACGGAAAGGCCCUGCUUUUGUGGGGUGCUCGAGUGGCGAACGGGUGAGUAACACGUGAGUAACCUGCCCUUGACUUUGGGAUAACUUCAGGAAACUGGGGCUAAUACCGGAUAGGAGCUCCUGCUGCAUGGUGGGGGUUGGAAAGUUUCGGCGGUUGGGGAUGGACUCGCGGCUUAUCAGCUUGUUGGUGGGGUAGUGGCUUACCAAGGCUUUGACGGGUAGCCGGCCUGAGAGGGUGACCGGCCACAUUGGGACUGAGGUACGGCCCAGACUCCUACGGGAGGCAGCAGGGGGGAAUAUUGCAAAAUGGGCGGAAGCCUGAUGCAGCAACGCCGCGGGCGGGAUGACGGCCUUCGGGUUGUAAACCGCUUUCGCCUGUGACGAAGCGUGAGUGACGGUAAUGGGUAAAGAAGCACCGGCUAACUACGUG
rnacentral:rRNA from 1 species